rnacentral:rRNA from 1 species
GACGAACGCUGGCGGCGUGCUUAACACAUGCAAGUCGAACGGAAAGGCCCUGCUUUUGUGGGGUGCUCGAGUGGCGAACGGGUGAGUAACACGUGAGUAACCUGCCCUUGACUUUGGGAUAACUUCAGGAAACUGGGGCUAAUACCGGAUAGGAGCUCCUGCUGCAUGGUGGGGGUUGGAAAGUUUCGGCGGUUGGGGAUGGACCCGCGGCUUAUCAGCUUGUUGGUGGGGUAGUGGCUUACCAAGGCUUUGACGGGUAGCCGGCCUGAGAGGGUGACCGGCCACAUUGGGACUGAGAUACGGCCCAGACUCCUACGGGAGGCAGCAGUGGGGAAUAUUGCACAAUGGGCGGAAGCCUGAUGCAGCAACGCCGCGUGCGGGAUGACGGCCUUCGGGUUGUAAACCGCUUUCGCCUGUGACGAAGCGUGAGUGACGGUAAUGGGUAAAGAAGCACCGGCUAACUACGUGCCAGCAGCCGCGGUGAUACGUAGGGUGCGAGCGUUGUCCGGAUUUAUUGGGCGUAAAGGGCUCGUAGGUGGUUGAUCGCGUCGGAAGUGUAAUCUUGGGGCUUAACCCUGAGCGUGCUUUCGAUACGGGUUGACUUGAGGAAGGUAGGGGAGAAUGGAAUUCCUGGUGGAGCGGUGGAAUGCGCAGAUAUCAGGAGGAACACCAGUGGCGAAGGCGGUUCUCUGGGCCUUUCCUGACGCUGAGGAGCGAAAGCGUGGGGAGCGAACAGGCUUAGAUACCCUGGUAGUCCACGCUGUAAACGGUGGGUACUAGGUGUGGGGUCCAUUCCACGGGUUCCGUGCCGUAGCUAACGCUUUAAGUACCCCGCCUGGGGAGUACGGCCGCAAGGCUAAAACUCAAAGGAAUUGACGGGGCCCCGCACAAGCGGCGGAGCAUGCGGAUUAAUUCGAUGCAACGCGUAGAACCUUACCUGGGUUUGACAUGGAUCGGGAGCGCUCAGAGAUGGGUGUGCCUCUUUUGGGGUCGGUUCACAGGUGGUGCAUGGCUGUCGUCAGCUCGUGUCGUGAGAUGUUGGGUUAAGUCCCGCAACGAGCGCAACCCUUGUUCACUGUUGCCAGCACGUUAUGGUGGGGACUCAGUGGAGACCGCCGGGGUCAACUCGGAGGAAGGUGGGGAUGACGUCAAGUCAUCAUGCCCCUUAUGUCCAGGGCUUCACGCAUGCUACAAUGGCUGGUACAGAGAGUGGCGAGCCUGUGAGGGUGAGCGAAUCUCGGAAAGCCGGUCUCAGUUCGGAUUGGGGUCUGCAACUCGACCUCAUGAAGUCGGAGUCGCUAGUAAUCGCAGAUCAGCAACGCUGCGGUGAAUACGUUCCCGGGGCU